rnacentral:rRNA from 1 species
UACGGGGGGAGCAAGCGUUGUUCGGAUUUACUGGGCGUAAAGGGCGCGUAGGCGGUCAGCACAAGUCAGUUGUGAAAUCUCCGGGCUUAACUCGGAAAGGUCAACUGAUACUGUGCGACUAGAGUGCAGAAGGGGCAACUGGAAUUCUCGGUGUAGCGGUGAAAUGCGCAGAUAUCAGGAGGAACACCGAUGGCGAAGGCAGGUCUCUGGGCCAUAACUGACGCUGAGAAGCGAAAGCAUGGGGAGCGAACAGG